UAGAUGCCCUAUUGGCCGCUGGGGACUGAGAAAUACGGCCGCCAUCUUAAACCGGUCGUACUCCUAGUUUCGUUAUAUGGCAGCAGAUAAGAUGCCAGAGCACUGUGGAUCAUUUUCCUCUUCUAAUCGGCAGACCAUCGCAAAUAGAGCCCGGAAGAUUAUUUUCACAAGUACUUUUUAACAUUGCGGUACUAUUGGUUGUAUUUUGUGAAUAGAAUAUUACCAGAAAAAUUGAGAAAGAGCCAGGAUUAUUGAUUUUACUGUACUGAAAUCGUAGCCAGCUAACGUUCGCUAGGCUAUGUUUACUGCACCAGCCGUUGUUCACCCUGCAAGGAGAGGUGCUGUGAACUGCGUGAUCCGCCGAGCUUUAAAAAGCUAUGUCAACAGUCAUGCACGUUGUGCGGGAGGAACAGAGGAUGUUUUCCUUCGUAGGUUAAAAAUCAUUUUAAAUUGUUUAUUCAACUUAUU